rnacentral:rRNA from 1 species
AUUGAACGCUGGCGGCAGGCCUAACACAUGCAAGUCGAACGGUAACAGGAAACAGCUUGCUGUUUCGCUGACGAGUGGCGGACGGGUGAGUAAUGUCUGGGAAACUGCCUGAUGGAGGGGGAUAACUACUGGAAACGGUAGCUAAUACCGCAUAACGUCGCAAGACCAAAGAGGGGGACCUUCGGGCCUCUUGCCAUCGGAUGUGCCCAGAUGGGAUUAGCUAGUAGGUGGGGUAACGGCCCACCUAGGCGACGAUCCCUAGCUGGUCUGAGAGGAUUGCCAGUCACACUGGAACUGAGUCACGUCCCAGAUUCCGACGGGAGGCAACAGUGGGGAAUAGUGCACAAUGGGCGCAAGCCUGAUGCAGCCAGGCCGCGUGUAUGAAGAAGGCCUUCGGGUUGUAAAGUACUUUCAGCGGGGAGGAAGGGAGUAAAGUUAAUACCUUUGCUCAUUGACGUUACCCGCAGAAGAAGCACCGGCUAACUCCGUGCCAGCCGCCGCCGUAA